GGUUGGGACUUGGCUGGUGGUCUAAUGGCUAAGACUGCAUGCUCCCAGUGCAAGGGCCAGGGUUUGAUUCCAGGUCAGGGACCUAGAGCCUACGUGCCACAACUAUGAAUGAAAGAAAGAGAUCGAGAGUGCCGAAACUAAGACCUGAUGCAGCCGAAUAAAUAAAAAGUAUUAAAAAGUGUUAGAUGAGGUCGUAGGGUGCGACUGGUGCCCUUUUAGAGACAGAGACCUGCCCGCACCGUGACCUUGAACGUCCCGCCUCCGGACCGUGAGACCCAUGUGUCUGGUUACGAAGCCCAGUUUAUCAUGAACAGGAGCAGAUUAGUGGGCCGUCAAACCGCAAGUGGCUGGCGAUCUUCUGGGACUUUUAGGCUGGGAGCUGCGGGUUGGGAAUGAAGGGGCUGCUGGGCGGCCAAGUGCCACCUCUGGGCCCAGCUGGCACCAUCCAGAGGCGCUGGGGGACAGGCUGCUGGACUGAACUCGCUUUCCUUCCCUGCCAAGUUCCUGUUUGAAGCUUAACCUCCAACGUGGCUGUGUUUGGAGAGAAGCUUGGUGCCUGUGGUGGAAGGCAGGCGCUGAACCGAACCCUCCUCCCGUGGAAAGGUGGUGUCCUGGUGCCGUUUGUGAAACAAGCCAACUUUCUGCCUGUGCUGCCGGUGUGGUGGCCCGGAGCCACACGUACCGUUUACAUGUGAACAAACUGACGUGAAAUAAAAUUCAAAAUUCGGUUUCUCAGACCCUGUUGGUGGUAUUUCAAAUGCUCAGUAGUCACCCGAGCUGAUAAUUAUAAAAAUGAAUAAAGGUAGGAGAGGUGUAGAAACACGAUUCCAUAAUUGCAAGAAUGCACGUGGACAAUAGCACUAAUUAGAGGUCAUCCUCCUGGAGGAUGGAAGAUUUACAAAAACUGGCCACAUUUCAGAAAUACCAACCUGUGGGUCCUGCAGGACGCAUUCUCUGCUGAAAGAGUAGUCAACUUAGAAAUCAGUAGCAAACGGUAUUAGCAAAUCCCAGAGUUUCAGAAUGAAAAAAAAAUACUUCUAAAUAAUCCAGCUUCAAAGAGGUAUUCAUAGGGAAAUGAGAAAAUAGGUCUGAACAGUAACUGCUUAUCAAAACUUGUGGGUGAAGUGGGGAAGAGCCUGUCUGUAUUAUGCAUUUUUGUGUAAAUCCAGUAUUUUGGGGUCUCAGUUUCCUGACCAAGGAUAGAACCCACACCCCCUGCAGUGGAAGCGCAGAGUCUUAACCACUGGACUGCCAGGGAAGUCCCCGUAUCUGAGACACUUUGGUCUGGGACUUCCAGCCUCUGGGACUAUGAGAAAAUAAAUUUCUUAAAAAUAAUUUUUUAAGCCACCUAGUUUGUGAUAUUUCUUUACGGCAGCCCUAGCAAACUAAGACAUAUGCUUUUCUCUCUUUGCUUUUAAUAUAUUUUUUUUAUUGUGAAGUUCUGCAGUUACACUGUGGUAUAAUUAGGUAUGUAAUUGAUUUUUAAAUUCUGCCUG
rnacentral:lncRNA from 1 species